rnacentral:lncRNA from 1 species
GUCUGUCACACCCUGUGUUUAACUCUCCUAGCUAAACUAACAUAGCUCAAAAAUUCUGAUGCUUGAUGUGAUUGUUGCUUGCUUGUGUGCUUGUGUCUUAAAUCACAAAACUCCCUAGACUCAUAUUCUUGUUAAAAACCUGGGUCCAAUGACCAUACCAUGUGUAUAGGACCAAAAACUAUUUCUACCAAAUAUUAUUUUGACCAAAAAUAAUUUAUUUAUUUUAAGCUUAAAAAAAC